UAAGGAAUAUUGGUCAAUGGACGCAAGUCUGAACCAGCCAUGCCGCGUGGAGGAUGAAGGUCCUCUGGAUUGUAAACUUCUUUUAUCUGGGACGAAACACUUCUUUUCUAAGAGGCCUGACGGUACCAGAUGAAUAAGCACCGGCUAACUCCGUGCCAGCAGCCGCGGUAAUACGGAGGGUGCAAGCGUUAUCCGGAUUCACUGGGUUUAAAGGGUGCGUAGGUGGGUAUGCAAGUCAGUGGUGAAAUCCCCGAGCUUAACUUGGGAACUGCCAUUGAUACUAUAUAUCUUGAAUACCGUAGAGGUAAGCGGAAUAUGUCAUGUAGCGGUGAAAUGCUUAGAUAUGACAUGGAACACCAAUUGCGAAGGCAGCUUACUAUGCGGUGAUUGACACUGAGGCACGAAAGCGUGGGUAGCAAACA
rnacentral:rRNA from 1 species